CAAAGACGGUACUUACCUCAGUAACAUCUUUGAAAGUAAACAUUCUAAGACGUUGCUGAUGUAAGCACCGUUUUAGAAUGCCUACUUUCAAAGACGGUGUUGAUGUAAACACCGUCUUU
rnacentral:pre_miRNA from 1 species